ACUAAGAAUGUUAAAUUAUCUAUAUAUACAUUUUACAGGUGAAAUGAAAAGUUAUUCGCUUUUAUUGUGAAUUUCCAGUCCAAAGAUGCAUUAGAUGUAAAGCAAAAUUAACAUGAGUUUUGUUAUGAAUUGGACACCAACAAGCAUGCUAUAGGUGGUUGAUUAUAAUUUGUUGACAGGGUGUUUAUUGUUGGAACUUUUCGGACUGCUUUGUUAAUCUCCAACUAAUAGUCAUUUUUAAUUAGUUUAUAGUGACGAGAAACACAAAUUUGCAGAUGAGUAAUUUUCGCCCUUGACCGAUGGAGAACUGGUACCUACGUCUUCGCCCUGUCGUUAUCAUCUAUGUUUCAUAGUUUGAAGACAAGAAAUUGCAAAAAUAGGUUGUGAUAGUGCGAGCAAGGGUGGUGAUGUUGGCACUAGAAUGCGAGCACACACUUUAUAUGAUUGUGAGAUGUACCAGUGUAUCACAUCGACCACCCAAUUUUGCGAGUAACGAUGCGCCAUCAUUUCAGUAUUUAUCGAUUAAGCAUACAACCACUCCGGCUAGAAGACGAAAUUAAUUAGCUUUUAAGUUGCUCAUUUUGACCCGUUUAAAGACGGCCUUUUUUCGGGUUGAUCCAUAUAAAAACGCGUUGGCCAUCUAACCCGUUUAAGUGUUCGAUUUGAAUAAAUAAAUCAGCGAUUCCAGCAACUUUGCCAGUUCAUGCUUUAGCCUUUUGGUCAUGGAUAAUAGUAUUAUUCUUUGGUAACUAUGCAAGCAUGGAUGGAUAUAAAAUGUCUACUUACAACUUCUCUCGCUUCACUGGCUCGGUGUUCUUCACCAUUGUGCCGGCGUUUCCUAUCUUCUCCAUCGCGGACGCACCACAACCACAUUUCACCAGAUUGGUGCAUCAAAGAAUUAAUUAGACUUUUUCAGUACAAGACCCUGUUGAUUAAGGUAACCACGGGAAUUUAUUGUACCCAUAUAGAAUGAGAGUGUAAGAAAACAUGUGUUCUUUAAAAAUACAUUUGGCAUAUGUUGUUA